rnacentral:rRNA from 1 species
UCCUACGGGAGGCAGCAGUGGGAAUUUUGGACAAUGGGCGCAAGCCUGAUCCAGCCAUGCCGCGUGAGUGAAGAAGGCCUUCGGGUUGUAAAGCUCUUUCGGCCGGGAAGAAAUCGUGUUCUCUAACAUAGGACAUGGAUGACGGUACCGGACUAAGAAAGCACCGGCUAACUACGUGCCAGCAGCCGCGGUAAUACGUAGGGUGCGAGCGUUAAUCGGAAUUACUGGGCGUAAAGCGUGCGCAGGCGGUUUUGUAAGACAGAUGUGAAAUCCCCGGGCUUAACCUGGGAACUGCGUUUGUGACUGCAAGGCUAGAGUACGGCAGAGGGGGGUGGAAUUCCUGGUGUAGCAGUGAAAAUGCGUAGAUAUCAGGAGGAACACCGAUGGCGAAGGCAGCCCCCUGGGCCUGUACUGACGCUCAUGCACGAAAGCGUGGGGAG